rnacentral:lncRNA from 1 species
ACCCAAGGAAGUUUGCGGUCCCGGCGAACAGCUCGACCCGCUCUUUCGACCGGGUCAGCGCGUCGAGCAAGGUCGGCGGCUGAGUCUCGGGCGUCGGCCACAGAAGCCGGAGCAACGGCGCGGCCGCCUCGCGCAGAGAUCUAAUCUCGGCGUCACAGGCGCUGACGGCCUCUUCAGCGGAAACUCUGCCGUGAUCCUC